AUAACUCAUUAUGUCACCCUAUUUAGGAUUGUCAAGUGAUAAUUCGAAUUAGUCGUUGUGCUACUGAGACUCCCUCGAGAAAUGGAUAAGUCCAAUUUAGGUCCUAGGCAUUUGAUUAAAUAGUUACCCGUUUAUGUUUUCCAUCAUUAUCAUGUAAUGCUGCAACCGUCACUUUGAACAGCCCACAUUUUCCUAUAAAAUCGGGAUCCAAGGAAACCGCUUCUUUUUCAUUCUCCCAUACUUAUUCAUUUUUCUCUAUUAUGGAUAAAGAUGGAUUUCGAAUCCAUACAGCUUUGUCGAUUCUUACUCAUAACCAACAUAAUGAACUAGUGAAAUCUUUCCACAUAGAUCCUCGAUUCCAUCCCCAACUUUCAUCUCCAAAUAAGACUAUCACCAAUCCUGCACUAGGCUAUGUUGGUAUGUAUUUGAUCUUUUUCAAAUCAGCUUUAUGACUUCCUUCUUUUCCUUUCUUGGGACCAUCCUUGAUUACCACAAGGUUCACAUUGCCCAAGUAAAUUUGAAUGGCUUCUAGAAGAUCAUGUGUUUUGUGCUACUAUGCAAAGUCCUAGACAUUCCUCCUUUACUAUCUAUUUUCCACUAUCUGGAUGUGCCUACGGUUACCAAGGAUUCGGUCUCUUUUCUCCUUCAUCAUAAUCAACAUAUGCGACAACCUUACCACAUCCAUCAAGAAGUGGAAAUAAGAUUUUUUCUUCAUUGAUGCUUCGGCUAUCGCCACGCGAAUGCAUUUUGGUGAUCUGGCAAACCGUCAUCCCGACCCUGCUCCUGAACUAACUGUCACAGAGCAUGAUGUGAAUAAGAGACUCAUCAUCAAUUACCUUGUUUGGUCUGGCCCUAAUGAGUUAUCCUUGGGUUUUAUUGAUUUAGAUAGCACUUACGGGGAUCAUGUUGUAGUUUCAGUACCCAAUUAGAGAGGGGUGAUAUUUUCUUGCUGGACAACUUCAUCGGAAGCAUCGGUCUAAAGGAGUAAAGGUGGGAAGUUCGUCCACUCCCAAAUCCGACCCAUUGUAUGAUGCAGAUGCAGGAGGUGAAACUGAGACGAACCUAGAUUAUGUCAUUCCGGACAGCCCGACGAAGUCCAUUGGUCUCACCCCUUUGUCAUCCCCAACGGUUACUCCAAACUCUUCAUCGAAAGGGGCUUCCAUUGCCGAUCCUACUGGGGCUCACAAGUGUAGAUUUCGACCUUCAGUUUCUUCCUCUACUAUUGGUAUUCCUCUCUUAUCUUCUCCUAAGAAAGCGUGUACUUCUUGUUCUUCCUCUAAUCGAGGCCUAGGGGUUACCGACACUACGUUUAACCUUCCACCAAUCACUUUUGCUUCGUCCGAUGAGGCUCUUCGCGAAUACUUGUUAACUUCUGAUCCUGUCUUAGUUUCCGUUCUAGAUUUAAUUUUAUCCUCUCCUGAGGCUCCUCCAACAUCUUCUGAAGCCAUAGUUUAUUCGACCCCGAUUUAAUUGGAUUCCUCAGUUAUUACUACUAAAUCAAUCACUAGUGGUUCAGCCACCAAGGUUAAUCCUCAUAUGAGUGAGCCUGUAAAGCUUCUUUUUCGUCAAAAGUUGUUCAACUCUUUUGCGCCCAAGCUUCUGCACCGACUUCUGCUCCCAUAGUUUCUACCGACACUUUAGUCAUUACUCUAGUUUUUCCUAUAUCCACCGAGACUCCAUCAGAUCCUGCUAAUGUUAUUAACCUAGACUCUCAGAUUCCUGAUGUGGAUACGAUGGAUUUUGAUUAUAACUGACCUCUCCUUGGUUCCUUCUCUUAUGAGCUUUUUCCUCCGCCAAAAACGGGAGCUACCCCGUUUUCUGUUCCAACAUCCCUGUCAGUUUUGGUGUCACUAUCCUCUUUGCUGACACCCUUCCUUUAUCCCUUUACUAGCACCAUGUUUUCCCAAUGUCCUUCCUUGGGAAACAUGACCAAUGAAUAGGGUAUUGAUAAGGCUCGUACCCAUAUCUAGGAGGGUAUGCAUUGGAUGAAUGAGGUUUCAUUGCGGAGCAAAGCUAGGGUUGCUGCCUCUGCUAUGCAGCGAAUUGAGAUUGAAAGGGCUUCCGAGCUUUUAAAAGAUCUUUGGGCAAAAUAUCAAGCUCUGGAGAGGGAAAAAUUUCGAGUUGGAUCAUUAUUCCCAACGCCAUGAAGAGCUUCUAAGGGUAAAUGUCGAGUUGAAGAACGUAAUAAGCAAAGAGAGUGCUUAUCGUGCUGCCCUGGCCACAAAAUUGGAAGAAAUUACCAAAAAGAACUCUGACUUGGGCUCGGUUUGUUUUGAGAAAGAAAUCCAAUUGGUCGGCUUAAGGAGUGUCUAACCGAGUGUCAACUUAAAUUUAAAGAUCAAACAACCAAUGCUGAAGAAUUAUAGACUGAAGCCUCUACUUCUAAACAAGAAGUCCUUUUUCACCAGCACCUGGCCGAGCAGAGAUCCAAAGAAUUUCAUUGGCUCUGAAGGAUAGCGAUAUCUACUUCGGUUCAAUAUUUGUUGAAAUCAUAAGAGUUUAGCAUGAUGAAUGUUGUUCUUCAAUCUGCUGCCGUCGAACUUGGCCUACACCAGGCUUCCCUUGAGAUGAAGAGAAGAUAAUCGGUGGAGCUUGAUGGAAAAGAGGUUUUGUACUCAUAUCUAAAUGUCAAAUAAGUUAUAUUGUAGUGCUUCUUUGAUCUUAACAAUUAUGACUAUCCUUACUUCAAAAUGCUAAAUACUGACAAUAUGGAUGUUGGUUUAUUGAAUAAACAUUUGGAGGAUUCUGACUCAGCUAUUGAUGCUGAUUCAUGUAUUUGCAUUAGUGUGAUUGAACUAAAUGUGCAUUUUUGUGUUGGUUAUCGCCUUCA